rnacentral:lncRNA from 1 species
CUGUAUGUAUCUUGUUAAACAUAAGCGCGGAAAAAUAACAUAGAUAUUUGCUUGUUAUUGAAUGAAUUGUUAAACCUUGAUAGCGGAUAGCCAACCCAUUACUUUGUCCUGGAAAAGGAUAUUAGAGAUUUCCGCUUAAUACAAAUGCUAUGACUUAUGCAUACUAUGAAUUUUUCACAGAUUGGCUAGAGAAAUCAGAGAAAUGGAUCUUUUGAGAUUUUUAAUGUUGACUGCAAAGGAUUAUUAAGACAAGAGGGGUUGCUCUGAUGGUAAGCAACCCCCACUUCCAACCGAGGGGUUGUGAGUUCCAGUCUCCCCAUGACUGCAAAGGAUUAAGUUAUGUGAAGGCUCAGUUAUGACUUCUUUUAGAAAUACAGGAUUCAAGCAUGAUUCAAGUAUGCAUUGUUUGGACACUAUGGGGGUAGAGAAACUUUAUGUGUUCUGAAGGAAAGUUUAACCCAAUAGACUGAAGAGUUUUUUUUUUAAUGAUGAACAUGGUUUUUUGGAUUUUAGGUGCCCUCUAGAAGUACGGCUAACCCCUGAAAAUAUCUUAAUUCCUGGGAUCAGUACUGUUCUGUCUAUAUACAAAACAGACUGAUUUUAUCCACAAAAAA